rnacentral:ribozyme from 14 species
UUUUGCAAUGAUUUUUGUUUUUCAUUUUUUUCUUUAAUCUUCUUCUCCUUUCUCUUCUCUUCAAUCUGAGAGGUAUAACUAUUAUAAAGAAACCUGCUCAUAGAUCCUCUACGUAAACAACACAAUACAUCCACGGGAUCAUUAAUUUCAA